UAAGAACAAAUCAAGGUCAAACUGAAGUAGAAAAUAUUAAGGAAACAAUUAGAGUUUUAGUCUCAAUACUCUGAUAUAGGGGUGGGCAUAAUAACCGAUACCCGAACCCGAACCCGAACCCGAUCCGAAGUAAGUGGUUCGGUUCGGGUUCGGUUAGUGUCAAAUACCCGAUCGGUUUUCAUUCUGUCUCUUUUCGGUUAACCGAACCCGAUCGAUUAUUACCCGAUACCCGAACUUAACCGAACAUAACCGAAACUAAAUAACCCUACCCAUUACCUAACAUAGACCUUACCAUUUAUGAUUUUUCCCUUUCCUAAAAUCUAGCCUAAAAAUUUUCUGCGUCGUUUAGAGUUCCCCAAAAUUAUCGAUUUCCAAAUCCUUCAUCUAUUAAAAUUUAAUUUCAUAAAUUGUCAAACUGGAAACCCUUAAUAUUCUUCCAUCUUCUCCGUCUCACUCGGUGACAUCCACAUCGAGAAAAAAAUCUGAGAUGGGUUCAUCGUCAUCUCCCUUUCAAAAUAACCAAGGUUUAGAUGGAGAUGAAGAUGGAAAUGAGUUCAUGACUCUGAUUUUUUCUACUUACAGUGUGAAGGAUACAAGAAAGCUUUGGGGUUGGAGUCGUCAUCUAUGUUUGGAAUUAGAAACUCUUUUAAUUUGUUUCAGUUUGUUUGCUUAAUCUAUGAACUUUAUUGAUGUUUUCACUAUGUUUUUAGACAGAUUAUGUUGCUUUGUUUCCAUUUCAUGUGGUUUUAGAGUAUUAUAUUAUCAGGAAGGAGUUAAAGACAAAACAGAACAUGUAUUUCAAAUUUUUUUUUUAAUAUAUGGAGUUCGGAUAUAUCCGAAAUUAACCGAA